rnacentral:rRNA from 1 species
UACGUAGGCAGCAAGCGUUUGUUCGGAGUUACUGGGCGUAAAGGGUGUGUAGGCGGUUCUUUAAGUUUGGUGUGAAAUCUCCCGGCUCAACUGGGAGGGUGCGCCGAAUACUGAGGGACUAGAGUACGGGAGAGGAAAGUGGAAUUCCUGGUGUAGCGGUGAAAUGCGUAGAUAUCAGGAGGAACACCGGUGGUGUAGACGGCUUUCUGGACCGUAACUGACGCUGAGACACGAAAGCGUGGGUAGCAAACAGG